rnacentral:rRNA from 1 species
UUCCUGUACCACCUCUUUAUCGUUUGAGCAAUGGAGGGACGCAGAAGGAUAGAAGAAGCGUGCGAUUGGUUGUGCACGUCCAAGCAGUUAGGCUGAUAAGUAGGCAAAUCCGCUUAUCGUGAAGGCUGAGCUGUGAUGGGGAAGCUCCUUAUGGAGCGAAGUCUUUGAUUCCCCGCUGCCAAGAAAAGCUUCUAGCGAGAUAAAAGGUGCCUGUACCGCAAACCGACACAGGUAGGCGAGGAGAGAAUCCUAAGGUGUGCGAGAGAACUCUGGUUAAGGAACUCGGCAAAAUGACCCCGUAACUUCGGGAGAAGGGGUGCUUUCUUAACGGAAAGCCGCAGUGAAUAGGCCCAAGCGACUGUUUAGCAAAAACACAGCUCUCUGCGAAGCCGUAAGGCGAAGUAUAGGGGG